UUCUUCCUUCUUUCCUAUUCUCCUCUGUUUCUCUUCUUCUUCUUCUUCUUCUGUUCUUCUCCUAUGGCGAUUCUGUGAGGAUUCUAAGAUCAAGAUAUGAGGGGAAAGAUUAUAGGACGGUUGUUUCUGGUGGUGAUGUUUAAGUAAUUGAGUUAGAAUUCAACCGAAAGGGUUAAUCAGGAAGAAGUUGAAUUAGGGUUUAUGUGAGAUGAAAUCGUCAGAAGAUUUAUGAGAAACUGAAGAAUAAAUCAAGUAAUUGAUGAUGGGUAUUGUGUGUAGAACUUAAAGAGGAUGAGUUAGAAUUUAAUUCUCAAACUUUAGAGAAGAAUUGAAGAAUUCGGGUUUCUUUGAAGAAUAAUUCAAAGUGGAUUUAGUGUACAAGAUGAAUUGAGGACUGGGUUUAAAUGAUUGAGGAACGGGAUGAAGUUAAUAAAUUGAUUUGAGAUGUUAGUGAAGAACUAGAGAAAUUAGGGUUUCUGUUCUUCGCCACAACAGAAAUUAGGGAUUAGGUUUUCGUUCUUGAAGAUUUUGGAUAAGAAGGAGGUAGAAGAUGUUUGAUUUGAAGAUUUGAAUUGAUGUUACGAACUUUAAUUAGAAAGUAGAGGAUUGAGAAUUGGCUUAGUGUUUCUGAGAAUCAAAGAUGAAGAUGAAUAUUAUAGAAUUCUAGUUAAUUGAACUGGUGGGUGUUGUUAGUUUGGAGGUGUGAUGCUGAUUUGAGUCAAAGUAAAGAAGAACUUGAGUUCAGUUAUCGGAGCAAAGCUACUUUAAGGUGUGUAGUUGUGUUGGUGGUGUUGAACUGGUGGUGCAAAAAGGUAAAGAUGAGUAUGUUUGUUGUGUUGAAGAAUUGGCAUUAGGAAAAGGGGCUUGUGUUGUUUCUGUGGGUGUUAAUGAUUGAAGCAGUGAGUGCAGGUGAUGAUACUGAAGUUGGAGAUGGUAUCCGUUGGUGAAUGUUGAGCUGAUAUCGCAAGGAUGGGAAGUUAGAGGUGUUGUUGGUACUAAAAUGGGAUGCAGGUGAAGUUAUUAGUGUCUCUUGUCAAGAAGAAGGUUAGAAUGGUGAUUCAGAGUUGUAGAUAGUGUUUGCUAUAAAGCUUGGAUAUUGCAGCUACUGCUUUUGUAAGUAGGCUAAGCUUAUAGUUGUAUUUAAAUUAUGAAGUUUAGAUGAAUUGAUUGAGAGUGUUUUAUGAAGUUUGUUUAGAAUAAAUGAACAGAUGUAAUAUUUAGAUUGUUGUUAAACCGGGUUUGAGUUGUAGCUA